rnacentral:lncRNA from 1 species
AGAGACCAGCCAGGAGGUAAAGAUGCUUUCUACCAAGCCCGAUGGCGGCUCAAGUUUGAGCUUCCAUGAGCUACAGGAUGGACAGAGAGGGAGAGAGCUGACUUCCUCAAGUUGGCCUCUGACCCUCCCAAGUACACCACAGCCCUCUCACAGGUGCACACUCACAUGCGCAAGCGCAAGCGUGUGUGUGUGUGUGUGUGUGUGUGUGUGUGUGUGUGCGCGUGCGUGCCCCCGAGUUCCAUUUAGGGGUCACGGGGUCUACUUCGCUUUGCAUUCUUCUGCAGUGUGAACCACCCAAUGCUUUGCAUGCGUGUCAUAGCAAUGCCACGUGUAGAAGUUGUAACCAGUUUCUGGGUCUGUAUGGUACGACGGAAUACCUCUUUUAUAAUUCUGUAACUGCAUAGCACAAUUAAUGCCGAGCAAGUGUAAAGUGAGAUAUUUCUGUUGCUAACUGUUGUGCAUUGUUUCCAAAAUAAUAUAUUUAGACUGCCUUUAGGAUUGUUAUUUUUUAAAUAGCUAUUGUGUUUAAGAACUAUUAUGCCAUGAAAAUUAAUAAAAAUCAAUCAACCUUAGGGAACAAUUCAGUAUUGUGCUAGAGUACACUGUGUUGAUUUUGCAUGAUUAAAAUGUUUUUUAAAGAGCUAGGGAAAAAAAGAGAGAGAGAUGCUGUUUUUCCAAUGAUUAAACGUGGUUUUUCUAAUGCUUAACAUCUAAAAUAUCUCCUUUAAUCUUCUAAAAUAAAUAUUUUAUUAUAAAGGGUAAAA